rnacentral:rRNA from 1 species
GAUGAACGCUGGCGGCGUGCUUAACACAUGCAAGUCGAACGUGAAGAAGCAGCAAUGUUUCUGAAAGUGGCGGACGGGUGAGUAACACGUGGGUGACCUGCCUUGCAGAGGGGGAUAACGAGGGGAAACCUUCGCUAAUACCGCAUAGGCUUACACCGAUGGGAAUGGUGUGGGUAAAACUGAGGUGCUGCAAGAGGGGCCUGCGUCCGAUUAGCUAGUUGGUGAGGUAAUGGCUCACCAAGGCGAUGAUCGGUAGCUGGUCUGAGAGGACGAUCAGCCACACGGGAACUGAGAAACGGUCCCGACUCCUACGGGGGGCAGCAGUGAGGAAUAUUGGGCAAUGGACGAAAGUCUGACCCAGCAACGCCGCGUGGAGGAUGAAGGC